rnacentral:lncRNA from 1 species
CAUUCUUGAAAUCAUUGCUAGCCCUCCCCCCAAGUGUUUAGUAAACUGAUGUUAAUGUUGGAGGAGAGAAAAAAGGUGGAUAGUACUUUUCAUAAAUGAGAAGACAGAUGUGUGGGUCAAACCAGGCAUGGUUGUCAAAAGUCUUUGAAUUGUGAAUAUUUGCAUUCUUCAAUAUAAUUUUUUGAAUAAUUUCCAAUUAUGAAGCACCUUUUAUAGGCCAGAAAGUUCUAACCAGUUUUACUGCAUCAAAUUUGGUCAUGUAAAAGGUGAUUUGACUCAAUCAUGUAGACAAGUCAGUGAUUCAAGAAGUAUGAUUUUUAUCAACUGAAAGAGAAAUAUUUGUUAGUGCACUGUUUGAGUUUUGAAGCCUCUGACUUCUCAGAAUGAUUCUGGUUUUUAGAAUUCCAUAUUUAGUAGAAAUUUAUGGCAAGUAAGAUUACAUAUAAAAAAUCUAUAAAGACUUUACGGUUUUACAUUGUGGAUUGCUAUGCAGACAAAAAUAAGUUAAAUAAUGUGAAAGGUAUGGCAGGAUAUAAGGUGGAAACGAUUAUCUAAAUAUUUGGGUUUUAGUUAGAUGUGUUUAUGUCAGACAAUAAGGUGGUUGUUUUUAUUUUUACUGUAAAGAUGUUAAUAACUGAUAUGGCUGCCUGAUCAGUGUUUCCACCCAGCCCUGCGUAUUUAGUGACAAAGCAUCAAAUAUAUCCAGAAACUUGGAAACCCUCGUGUGCUCUUACUGUUGGUGUUUCAUCUGGUAUGAAAAUAACUCAGCUUGAAUGAAUGUGUUUGUUGAGAUGUUAAUACAGAGCUUAAGAACAGGAAGAUGAAAUUUGUUGGCACAUGAUUAAUAGUUGGUGACCUUGUGUCGCUAUUUAUUUUAUGCCCUGAUCAGAAUAGCAACUAGAUAAGUGAAAGUUUUUCUAACAUGCCUUAAAAAUGUUAUGGUUUGAUCCAAAGACCCACUUUUUCUUUAGCUACUACGAUAAGGUCUUCCUUAAACUAUGGAAAGGUGCUUUGAUGAUUUUUCUUCUUUGGUUUG